CCGCGCCUGAUUAGCUAGUUGGUGGGGUAAUGGCUCACCAAGGCAACGAUCAGUAUCCGGCCUGAGAGGGCGGACGGACACACUGGGACUGAGACACGGCCCAGACUCCUACGGGAGGCAGCAGUGGGGAAUUGUUCGCAAUGGGCGCAAGCCUGACGACGCAACGCCGCGUGGAGGAUGAAGAUCUUCGGGUUGUAAACUCCUUUCGAUCGAGACGAAUGGCCCUUGGGCUAACAUCCUGAGGGAGUGACGGUACCGAGAGAAGAAGCCCCGGCUAACUCCGUGCCAGCAGCCGCGGUAAUACGGGGGGGGCAAGCGUUGUUCGGAAUUACUGGGCGUAAAGGGCUCGUAGGCGGCCAACUAAGUCAUACGUGAAAUCCCUCGGCUUAACCGGGGAACUGCGUCUGAUACUGGAUGGCUUGAGUUCGGGAGAGGGAUGCGGAAUUCCAGGUGUAGCGGUGAAAUGCGUAGAUAUCUGGAGGAACACCGGUGGCGAAGGCGGCAUCCUGGACCGAUACUGACGCUGAGGAGCGAAAGCCAGGGGAGCAAACGGGAUUAGAUACCCCGGUAGUCCUGGGCCCUAAACGAUGAAUGCUUGGUGUGGCGGGUAUCGAUCCCUGCCGUGGCCG
rnacentral:rRNA from 1 species